UGGGGAAUAUUGCACAAUGGGCGAAAGCCUGAUGCAGCAACGCCGCGUGAGUGAUGAAGGUCUUCGGAUUGUAAAGCUCUGUCUUUUGGGACGAUAAUGACGGUACCAAAGGAGGAAGCCACGGCUAACUACGUGCCAGCAGCCGCGGUAAUACGUAGGUGGCGAGCGUUGUCCGGAUUUACUGGGCGUAAAGGGUGCGUAGGCGGAUGUUUAAGUGAGGUGUGAAAUACCCGGGCUUAACUUGGGUGCUGCAUUUCAAACUGGAUAUCUAGAGUGCAGGAGAGGAGAAUGGAAUUCCUAGUGUAGCGGUGAAAUGCGUAGAGAUUAGGAAGAACACCAGUGGCGAAGGCGAUUCUCUGGACUGUAACUGACGCUGAGGCACGAAAGCGUGGGUAGCAAACAGGAUUAGAUACCCUGGUAGUCCACGCCGUAAACGAUGAGUACUAGGUGUAGGAGGUAUCGACCCCUUCUGUGCCGCAGUAAACACAUUAAGUACUCCGCCUGGGAAGUACGAUCGCAAGAUUAAAACUCUAAAGUGAAUUGAC
rnacentral:rRNA from 1 species